CCUGCAUUUAUCCUGGGGCCUCAUACCUCAGAGGACUGGAGGAAGACUUAUGAACUGAUCCUUCUUGCUCUGAGAAUUAGAAUGGUCUCUUGACAAGAGGAACUAUUCUGCCAGUUCACAGAUGAGGCUACUUUGCUACAGAGAAAAAUAAGCCAUUCAUCCAACUUAAAAAGUGAGGAAGUUUUGGAACCAGAAUUUUCCUGAUGUGGAUAAGCUUGUGAAAGCAGAGGGAGAGUCUGAACGAGGGGGAUGGUGGACAGUUGUCUCCUAAAACCUCAAUAGAAAGUCAUGGAGAUGAUAAAGCUGCUUCAGACUGGCCUCCAGCUCAGACUGAGAUGCUGAUCUCAUCAUUGCCCUCCCCACUGGAGUGGGAUCCUGAAAUUGGGUUGUAGUU